rnacentral:tRNA from 5 species
GGUGCUGUAGCUCAGUUGGUAGAGCAUCGGACUGAAAAUCCGUGAGUCGGUGGUUCGAAUCCACUCAGCACCACAA